AGCGAACGCUGGCGGCAGGCUUAACACAUGCAAGUCGAGCGGGCAUCCUUGUGGUGUCCGCGGCAGACGGGUGAGUAACGCGUGGGAACGUGCCCUUCGGUUCGGAAUAACUCAGGGAAACUUGAGCUAAUACCGGAUACGCCCUUUUGGGGAAAGGUUUACUGCCGAAGGAUCGGCCCGCGUCUGAUUAGCUAGUUGGUGAGGUUAUGGCUCACCAAGGCGACGAUCAGUAGCUGGUCUGAGAGGAUGAUCAGCCACACUGGGACUGAGACACGGCCCAGCCCCCCACGGGGGGCAGCAGUGGGGAAUUUGGAAAAAGGGGGGAACCCCUUACACCCCCACGCCGGGUGAGUGAUGACGGCUUUGGGGUUGAAAAGCUCUUUUCUCCGGACGGAAAAGGAGGGGACGGGAGAAAAAGCCCCGGCCAACUUUCGU
rnacentral:rRNA from 1 species